rnacentral:rRNA from 1 species
GGUUAAGCGACUAAGCGUACACGGUGGAUGCCCUGGCAGUCAGAGGCGAUGAAGGACGUGCUAAUCUGCGAUAAGCGUCGGUAAGGUGAUAUGAACCGUUAUAACCGGCGAUUUCCGAAUGGGGAAACCCAGUGUGUUUCGACACACUAUCAUUAACUGAAUCCAUAGGUUAAUGAGGCGAACCGGGGGAACUGAAACAUCUAAGUACCCCGAGGAAAAGAAAUCAACCGAGAUUCCCCCAGUAGCGGCGAGCGAACGGGGAGCAGCCCAGAGCCUGAAUCAGUGUGUGUGUUAGUGGAAGCGUCUGGAAAGGCGCGCGAUACAGGGUGACAGCCCCGUACACAAAAAUGCACAUGCUGUGAGCUCGAUGAGUAGGGCGGGACACGUGGUAUCCUGUCUGAAUAUGGGGGGACCAUCCUCCAAGGCUAAAUACUCCUGACUGACCGAUAGUGAACCAGUACCGUGAGGGAAAGGCGAAAAGAACCCCGGCGAGGGGAGUGAAAAAGAACCUGAAACCGUGUACGUACAAGCAGUGGGAGCACGCUUAGGCGUGUGACUGCGUACCUUUUGUAUAAUGGGUCAGCGACUUAUAUUCUGUAGCAAGGUUAACCGAAUAGGGGAGCCGAAGGGAAACCGAGUCUUAACUGGGCGUUAAGUUGCAGGGUAUAGACCCGAAACCCGGUGAUCUAGCCAUGGGCAGGUUGAAGGUUGGGUAACACUAACUGGAGGACCGAACCGACUAAUGUUGAAAAAUUAGCGGAUGACUUGUGGCUGGGGGUGAAAGGCCAAUCAAACCGGGAGAUAGCUGGUUCUCCCCGAAAGCUAUUUAGGUAGCGCCUCGUGAAUUCAUCUCCGGGGGUAGAGCACUGUUUCGGCAAGGGGGUCAUCCCGACUUACCAACCCGAUGCAAACUGCGAAUACCGGAGAAUGUUAUCACGGGAGACACACGGCGGGUGCUAACGUCCGUCGUGAAGAGGGAAACAACCCAGACCGCCAGCUAAGGUCCCAAAGUCAUGGUUAAGUGGGAAACGAUGUGGGAAGGCCCAGACAGCCAGGAUGUUGGCUUAGAAGCAGCCAUCAUUUAAAGAAAGCGUAAUAGCUCACUGGUCGAGUCGGCCUGCGCGGAAGAUGUAACGGGGCUAAACCAUGCACCGAAGCUGCGGCAGCGACACUAUGUGUUGUUGGGUAGGGGAGCGUUCUGUAAGCCUGUGAAGGUGUACUGUGAGGUAUGCUGGAGGUAUCAGAAGUGCGAAUGCUGACAUAAGUAACGAUAAAGCGGGUGAAAAGCCCGCUCGCCGGAAGACCAAGGGUUCCUGUCCAACGUUAAUCGGGGCAGGGUGAGUCGACCCCUAAGGCGAGGCCGAAAGGCGUAGUCGAUGGGAAACAGGUUAAUAUUCCUGUACUUGGUGUUACUGCGAAGGGGGGACGGAGAAGGCUAUGUUGGCCGGGCGACGGUUGUCCCGGUUUAAGCGUGUAGGCUGGUUUUCCAGGCAAAUCCGGAAAAUCAAGGCUGAGGCGUGAUGACGAGGCACUACGGUGCUGAAGCAACAAAUGCCCUGCUUCCAGGAAAAGCCUCUAAGCAUCAGGUAACAUCAAAUCGUACCCCAAACCGACACAGGUGGUCAGGUAGAGAAUACCAAGGCGCUUGAGAGAACUCGGGUGAAGGAACUAGGCAAAAUGGUGCCGUAACUUCGGGAGAAGGCACGCUGAUAUGUAGGUGAAGUCCCUCGCGGAUGGAGCUGAAAUCAGUCGAAGAUACCAGCUGGCUGCAACUGUUUAUUAAAAACACAGCACUGUGCAAACACGAAAGUGGACGUAUACGGUGUGACGCCUGCCCGGUGCCGGAAGGUUAAUUGAUGGGGUUAGCCGCAAGGCGAAGCUCUUGAUCGAAGCCCCGGUAAACGGCGGCCGUAACUAUAACGGUCCUAAGGUAGCGAAAUUCCUUGUCGGGUAAGUUCCGACCUGCACGAAUGGCGUAAUGAUGGCCAGGCUGUCUCCACCCGAGACUCAGUGAAAUUGAACUCGCUGUGAAGAUGCAGUGUACCCGCGGCAAGACGGAAAGACCCCGUGAACCUUUACUAUAGCUUGACACUGAACAUUGAGCCUUGAUGUGUAGGAUAGGUGGGAGGCUUAGAAGUGUGGACGCCAGUCUGCAUGGAGCCGACCUUGAAAUACCACCCUUUAAUGUUUGAUGUUCUAACGUUGACCCGUAAUCCGGGUUGCGGACAGUGUCUGGUGGGUAGUUUGACUGGGGCGGUCUCCUCCUAAAGAGUAACGGAGGAGCACGAAGGUUGGCUAAUCCUGGUCGGACAUCAGGAGGUUAGUGCAAUGGCAUAAGCCAGCUUGACUGCGAGCGUGACGGCGCGAGCAGGUGCGAAAGCAGGUCAUAGUGAUCCGGUGGUUCUGAAUGGAAGGGCCAUCGCUCAACGGAUAAAAGGUACUCCGGGGAUAACAGGCUGAUACCGCCCAAGAGUUCAUAUCGACGGCGGUGUUUGGCACCUCGAUGUCGGCUCAUCACAUCCUGGGGCUGAAGUAGGUCCCAAGGGUAUGGCUGUUCGCCAUUUAAAGUGGUACGCGAGCUGGGUUUAGAACGUCGUGAGACAGUUCGGUCCCUAUCUGCCGUGGGCGCUGGAGAACUGAGGGGGGCUGCUCCUAGUACGAGAGGACCGGAGUGGACGCAUCACUGGUGUUCGGGUUGUCAUGCCAAUGGCACUGCCCGGUAGCUAAAUGCGGAAGAGAUAAGUGCUGAAAGCAUCUAAGCACGAAACUUGCCCCGAGAUGAGUUCUCCCUGACUCCUUGAGAGUCCUGAAGGAACGUUGAAGACGACGACGUUGAUAGGCCGGGUGUGUAAGCGCAGCGAUGCGUUGAGCUAACCGGUACUAAUGAACCGUGAGGCUUAACCUU